UUCCGGAAGGGAGGGGUCACGAGUUUGCAGUAUUUGGGUAAACUUUGUUUUGUUGCAGCAAUGUUUGAAAUGGGUCAUCUUCGCUACCUUUGACCACUAAGGGGGUCAGCUUAACAACACAACGUGGAGAGAAAGGCCUGCUGGUCGUGGUGGGGGACUGGCCUCUAUAUUUAGAAGCCAUUUCCUGUGUCGUCUAUCGACUGUCGAUGAAUGCUCCAGUUUCGCGGAGCAGCGAAAUAAAGUGGAAUUGCCUAACCAGGUGACUUCAACCUGACUGUGGAUUCGUUGUAGGGAAGCACCUGGCGGAUCCGGCGAUGAGACCAGCGAUGGCGCUGUGCCAGGAUGUGCUCGGGCAGGACUCUGCCACGACGGCGCCAGCUCUUCGGCUCCGCGGUGGAACAAGAGGAAGGGGCGUGCUCGUCGGACGCCCCCCCAACCCACACUGCCAGUCAAGGCUUUAGUCACCACGAGCAGAGCUGAGAACGGAUCAGUGACAGGUGAGAGCCACGUAAGACAGCAGCAACUUUUAAUUUACAGCUUAAAAUUUUGACCAGACUAUACCAGACCGUGGUCUGGAUUGAGGGUUUGCGCAAACAGAAACAUCAACGUCUCUAAAACUGAGCUGUAGCCUAACUGGGCUGCGAUCACACGGGAUGUACUUUGUAGGCUUCAAAACAUAAAGCGCACUGCCUGUGCUGAUUUCAUGAAGCCUAGCUGUGCUUUUGACCAUUUUUGCUGGUUAUAGCUGGUCUGUGGCUGGUCAAAGCCGUUUAAGCAGGUGAAGUAAGAUGGUGGACUAGCUGACUAAACAGGCUGGUUGGUCAGCUGCUGAACCACCAGCUAAAAGAGUAAAAAACACCGCACAUAAAUCAGCUUGACCAACUUAGGCUGGUUUUAUAUGGAAUUUUCAGCAGGGUACACAGGCAUCACC